rnacentral:rRNA from 1 species
AUUGAACGCUGGCGGCAGGCUUAACACAUGCAAGUCGAGCGGGGGAGGUUGCUUCGGUAACUGACCUAGCGGCGGACGGGUGAGUAAUGCUUAGGAAUCUGCCUAUUAGUGGGGGACAACAUCUCGAAAGGGAUGCUAAUACCGCAUACGUCCUACGGGAGAAGGCAGGGGACCUUCGGGCCUUGCGCUAAUAGAUGAGCCUAAGUCGGAUUAGCUAGUUGGGGGGGUAAAGGCCUACCAAGGCGACGAUCUGUAGCGGGUCUGAGAGGAUGAUCCGCCACACUGGGACUGAGACACGGCCCAGACUCCCACGGGAGGCAGCAGUGGGGAAUAUUGGACAAUGGGGGGAACCCUGAUCCAGCCAUGCCGCGUGUGUGAAGAAGGCCUUUUGGUUGUAAAGCACUUUAAGCGAGGAGGAGGCUACUGGUAUUAAUACUACCGGAUAGUGGACGUUACUCGCAGAAUAAGCACCGGCUAACUCUGUGCCAGCAGCCGCCGUAAGAC